AAAAGAGUUGCCUGCUGCUGGAAUCGAACCAGCGUCGCCACGGCCACAACGUGGAGUACUAACCACU
rnacentral:tRNA from 1 species